UAUCUCACCAGGUGGUAGUGAAACUCACCAGCCCCUGGGCCUCUGAUUAUCUGUGCUAUACGUAGAGAACUGUUUGUGGGGAUUACAACCUCUCCUAUGAUUUGAGGAUUUUACAAAUGAAAAACACCUUUGAGAAAGUUCCUGCCUUCUUCUCAGCUACAACCCAGCCUCAAGACAAGGGAACAAUAGUGCUGUAUGUUUCAAAUAUAGGAUGCCUGAGCCACAGAGAGAACCAACAGAUGUGGACAUCUUGAGAAUGCCUGACACAUCCUUUCAAUUAGCCUUUGAUCCCGAACUGGACCUUUCCUUCAGAUACCAACAAGAAUUAACAUGAAAAAGAUCCACCUCUCCCAGACAGAAGCCCUUCCAGUCUGUGUUGAUGCCUUUUAUGCAAUUUCAUGAUACUCAUAAGCUUGUCACAUUCCUAUCAGAGGUGCUUGGCAUAGGAAGUGUCUUUUGGUGAUCCCCCUCAGUUUUUAAAUAAAUGAACACCUUUUAAAGCACAAAAGAGAAAAUGGCAGGACAUACGAAGGCAGAACAGGCGUGUCCCAUAGAUUUUUCUUUUUUUAGUAUUAACCCCUUUUAUGCACAUAAUGAGUGAGAUAUGUUUUCAGGGACCAUCUCUAUAGCUUAUUACUGAGUGUGAUAUACAUGUAGUUAUCAUCAUAAAAAGCUUUGAAAGCCACUGAGCAUGACAUUUUAGUGAAAAAACAAGGUUAUUUUAAAUGUUUUGUUUGGGUGCCAAGGCAUAACCGGAACUCCUGGGCUUAUGUGAUCCUUCUUUGUUUUGUUUUAUGUUUUGAACUGUCUGAGGGCCUCCUGGCAGUAGGACCACAAUACAAACCUGGUAUAUGAAGUAGCUUGGUGGAGCCCAGUCCCUAAGGUGAGAUGCUAUGCUCAGCCUUAAUGUAUGCAAGAAGGGCUUGGCCCAACCCCAGCCUAUUGUGCCAGACUUUGCUGAUACCUCAUUCGAAGGAGUGAACUGGGGAUGGGUUGGGGGAGAGUCAAGGGGAGACAGGAGGAACGGUGGGAGGGAGAACUGGUUGGGG
rnacentral:lncRNA from 1 species